AGAAAUUUAGGUUAAAUCAAACCAAGAGCCUUCAAAGCUCUAAAUAGGGACUACUCCCUAAUCUCUG
rnacentral:tRNA from 1 species